CAAACGGAACGCUGCCUUAUCCCCUAGUACUCUCUCGGUCUCUCCUCUCCUCUCCACUCACUCAACCUCUCCCGCUCCCGGUCUCCCCUCCCUCCCCCGGCGCAUCCGCCGCGCGCGUCGAUGAGCUCCUGCCGCAACCACGUGACUCCGACCAUCGACCACCGCAUUUGUUGCAUGCAUCGGCAGUUGCCGCGCGACGAAGAUCGCUGCUGGUCCCGCAGCAGCCUCGGACGCUCAAGUAAGAGGAGCGGCCCCAAUGGUGGCGGCCUCGAGCACCGGGAUAAGUGCAGGCUGGGGAUGCGGGAGAGGUGCAGCGCGGGGCUCGGGGCUCCGACGAGCUGGGUGCGGCGCGACGAACGACGACGGACGCAGGGACGCGUUGAUCCGGGCACUGGUGCUCAAACCGGUCCCGUUCCGGCCAGAUCUGCGGCGGUGCUCAUCUCCGGCGAGGUGGCCGGUGACUCGCGGGCCGACGGCAGCGCAAGACCACGGGAGGAGCUCAUCUCAUGGGGCUAGGGCGUGAGGUCCUAUUGGCUUCGGUUGCCGGUGGCUUACGUAGGGGUGGCGGGGGUCCAGCAUCAUGGAGGCUCUUCAAGGGCGAGGAAGCAGACGGCGACGACAACUUUGAGGCCGGCGGGGGCACCGUCUCCGCGUUCGAUGGUCGUGGUGAACGCCGUGGGCUCCAACACGGCCGCCAUUGGCUCUAUCCCCUACAGGGCAUUACUCAACUGAGCUGAUGAAGUAAGAGGAAUCCAGAGGUGUGGGAUUUGCACUGUGUAUCAUUUUAAGCAUGGUUGGCCGCAUCGUUGGCUCCUCUUGAAAGCACAUGUACUACUUGCACCAAGAGCAAGAAUUUAACAGUAGAAAAGCCGUAUCAACUAUAUGUAUGCCCCAAUGCGAUCAACAAAAAAAAAUUAUGCUUGCAAUUACCUAGCGCGGGCACUGUGUCAUUUGGGAAGGAUGCUCAAGAUUAGGAAUGUCACCAAGAGGGGCUCGGCUAGAGUUAUCACCAAGAGGGGAUCGGCACAGAUUUGUCGCCUCCAUAUCUUCAAGCGUCAUGGUCUGUCGGCGCUUGUAACGAAAUAAAAUAAACCAUUAUUAUUUCUGUGAACUAUACACAUUAAAUAUAUACUGGGACAAAAUCUAACUUUGAAGCAUGCGAUCAGGUAUAUUUGUCUUGAAUGGAAGGACAAACACAAAGAACCAUUACAUCAAGAAGCUAUCAGGCUUGAGGGUCUCACAUAUUUUCACGACGCUUUCUGAAGUUAUGAGCUAGAGCUAUUUCCUAGUCUGAUUUCUCCUGGGUGUACUCUGCUUUCUGGUGUCUAAUUUGGUGACAAGAAUAUUGUGUCGACGGUCAGCGCCUGGAUUGUAAAUUGGACUUGAAAGCAAAUAGCUCUCUAGGCACGUAAUGCAGAUUAUAAACCCAAGGUAAAAUCAUUAUCCUAAUGCAUUCUUCAUGAUGUUGGCUUUUUCCCCUCACUAGGCCUGUGAUGCUAUAUUUCCAAAAACAUCUAAAUUUUAUCACUUUGGUAGCAUCCACAUGGCUUUGUGAAUCCUGCUGUGUAGAUGGUGGAUAGCCUGGUAAAAGAGUAGAGACUUUGUACAUGGGUUCUUUUGUGUAUGUACCCUUCUGAAUUUGUGCUCAUUCGCUGAGAAAUUAGAGAACAACAGCUUACUAAAUA